GGGCCCGCACAAGCGGUGGAGCAUGUGGAUUAAUUCGAAGCAACGCGAAGAACCUUACCUAGCCUUGACAUCCUUGGAACUCUCCCGAAAAGGAGAGGUGCCCCUUGGGGAAUCAAGUGACAGGUGCUGCACGGCUGUCGUCAGCUCGUGUCGUGAGAUGUUGGUUAAGUCCCGCAACGAGCGCAACCCCUGUCUUUAGUUGCCAGCAUUUAGUUGGGCACUCUAGAGAGACUGCCGGUGUCAAGCCGGAGGAAGGUGGGGACGACGUCAAGUCAUCAUGGCCCUUACCGGCUAGGGCUUCACACGUGGCUACAAUGGACGGUACAAAGGGUCGCGAAGCCGCGAGGUG
rnacentral:rRNA from 1 species